rnacentral:rRNA from 1 species
GGCUACAGAACGAACGCUGGCGGCAUGCCUAACACAUGCAAGUCGAACGAGACCUUCGGGUCUAGUGGCGCACGGGUGCGUAACGCGUGGGAAUCUGCCCUUGGGUUCGGAAUAACUUCGGGAAACUGAAGCUAAUACCGGAUGAUGACGUAAGUCCAAAGAUUUAUCGCCCAAGGAUGAGCCCGCGUAGGAUUAGCUAGUUGGUGAGGUAAAGGCUCACCAAGGCGACGAUCCUUAGCUGGUCUGAGAGGAUGAUCAGCCACACUGGGACUGAGACACGGCCCAGACUCCUACGGGAGGCAGCAGUGGGGAAUAUUGGACAAUGGGCGAAAGCCUGAUCCAGCAAUGCCGCGUGAGUGAUGAAGGCCUUAGGGUUGUAAAGCUCUUUUACCCGGGAUGAUAAUGACAGUACCGGGAGAAUAAGCUCCGGCUAACUCCGUG